rnacentral:rRNA from 1 species
UACAGAGGGGGCGAGCGUUGUUCGGAAUUACUGGGCGUAAAGGGCGCGUAGGCGGCCCGCUAAGUCGAACGUGAAAUCCCCAGGCUUAACUUGGGAACUGCGUCUGAUACUGGGAGGCUUGAGUGCGGGAGAGGGAUGUGGAAUUCCAGGUGUAGCGGUGAAAAUGCGUAGAUAUCUGGAGGAACACCGGUGGCGAAGGCGGCAUCCUGGACCGACACUGACGCUGAGGCGCGAAAGCUAGGGGAGCAAACGGGG